rnacentral:lncRNA from 1 species
UUUGGCGCAGCUCUGUGGCAUAUAGGAGUUCCCAGGCUGUUGGUCAAAUAAGACCUGCAAAAUGCUGGCCUACACCAUAGCCAUGGCAACACAGGAUCCAAGCCCACUCAUUCCCCAUCCCACACAUACAUCUGUCAGUGAAAGAGGAAGCUUCUCCAGAGAGAUGUACAUGAACACAAUCUCGUGUGAACACAACCUUUUAUUUGCUGACCACGGUGCUAUGGAAACCAGGCCAACUUGUGAUUUUUAAUUAUUUUUAAAAUCUGUAUUCUAAUGAAAAAUUAAAAUAGUAAAAAACUAUAGAGACAUCAGCAGCCAGACCCUAGGAAGAGAGGUUUUCCAGAGGCAAGUAGAGUUAUUAAAAACUAAACAAAACUUGGAGUUCCCGUUGUGGUUCAGUGGUUCAUGAACGCGACUACUAUUACCAGGAGGAUGUGGGUUUGAUCCAUGACCUUGUUCAGUGGGGGUAAGGAUCCAGCAUUGCUGUGAGCUGUGGUGUAGGUCACAGACACAACUCGGAUCUGGCAUUGCUGUGACGUGGCAUAGGGUUCAUAACCUACUGAGCCACAAUGGGAACACUUAGACUUUUAUUUUUGACAUAUAUACUUUUUCCCAUCUAUUAAGAUAUCGAAACACAAACACCUGAAUUUUGAAAAGAAGAAGUGAAGUUGAAAAAAAAGAACUGGUGAGGCACUAUGAAUACAAUAUUUACAAUUAAAAUGAGAGGUAAAUUUGUUGAACCAGGCAUACUGCUUAGCAUGUUAUAUACCUUAUCUCAUUUAAUCUCCACAAUAGUUGUAUGGCAUAAAUAUAUUUUAGUUCCCACUUUAUGGAUGAGGACAUUACCAGUCUAUGGAACUCAGUAUCCCCUAAAUACCACGAGGUGAGUUGAUUUCAACCUCACAACUUUUCUUUUUCCUAUUUUUGGCUGCCCAGCGGCACAUGGAGGUCCCGGGCCAGGCAUCGGAUCUGAGCCACAGUUGUGACCUACACCACAGCUGUGGCAACACGGGGUCUUUUUACCCACUGCGCUGAGCCACUGAUCAAACUGGCAUCCUGGCGCUGCAGAGCUGCCUCCCCCAAUCCCACUGCACCACUGCGGGAACUCCUCAACCGCACAACUUUUCAUUUCGUUAACCAAGACACAAGAAGUCCAGCAUAAGUUACCCAUGACAGUUUUGCAGACAGUAUAGCUUGAUAAGCAACAGCACUAGCUAAAGCCUAGCCCCGUCAUUUACUUGACACGUGACCCCUGGAACUUAGCGUCUUGGUACUUCAGUUUCUGAAGCAAAUGAAAAGACAGACGGGUUCUCAGUGGUUAUGUGUUCAUAUCAACACAUUCAUAUUUUCACGGAAGAAUCGCUUCUAAUGACAGGAACGGCAGCUCUAAGAGAAGGUAGAAUUAUGUAAAACUCUGGCAAAAUAACCUAAACAGUUUCUGGGCGACCAGUCUCCCUUGCCUAAUGACUUAUUCUCUUGGGCAUCUAGCCUCCUGGUCUCCGUGCCUUUCCAAUGGAAAAUAAACAAAUUUAGUAAACUCCACCUGGCUCCCUGUGGAUUGUUUAUCAUGAAAUACCUUCCAAUUGAGCCUGAUUGCCAGCCUUUGGAGGAGAGCUGUGCUCCGAAAAUUGGAGGCUUUGUAAGGGGACCUCUGACUGAGGUCCUGCACUGUGGGCGAGGGAAGAAAAAGCCACUGACACGAUGCCUGUCUACCCUCUGGCUCACGUAAAGUCACUGCCUUAAAUACUCAGCAUCUGGGAAUAUAAUAAUUCUGCCUACUCUAGCUUUAAAGGUGAAUUUUGCAAUUUUUGAAAAGGUCCUUAGAAUCACAUUGCAGAAUUAAAGGGUGUAUUAUAAUUAUCAAUAUCAAUAGUAAUAAAAGUUUAUUAAAGGUCAUUAAAAUGAAAGGGGAUGGCUCUAGAUCCCAUCAAUCUGAAUUGACUCCCUCCUCUUGUGUUAAUUAGAAAACUCAGAUAAUGGUUCUAUGGGGGAGUACAGGGAAAAUUUAAUUACGAAAGUUUAAUGGGCCACUAUCUACUUCCUGCCAGAUUAAAAACUGAUGAUUUAUACAAUUUUAGAUACUACCACAGGCUUUUCUAACAAAACAUGUUGCAGAGAAUGUAAAAGUUUACGGAGAGCUUUCUAUCCACUAUAAAACAAUGCUAGCAAAAGCCAUGUUUGCACACUCCUUAAAAAAAAAAAAAGUCACCCUAGAAAAUAUAUAUUCUGCAUUUACUAAUGCUUACAAGCUUAAAAUAGGCAACAAUCAGAAAGUGUAGAUAUUUGGUACAUAUCAGUUAAAAAUAAAAUGGUCUGUUAUCUUCUUGGCGUUGGAGAAAGGAGAGCAUAUUGGGAGAGAGAGAUUUUAAGACCCCAAGGAAAGAUGUCUUAUUGUUUUUGACACGUUUGUCAUUGAGCGCUCUCUUCUUUGAGUCUUAGUGACGCAUUCAUUUCCCUUGAUCCGGAGCUGCCUGUUACCAACACAAAGUGAUAGGAUUGUGCAAAGCUUGGAAUUUAAAGGAUGUGGAUGCAGAGAAAAGAAAUGGGUUGCAUAGAUAGGAGGAGGUGAGAAAAAGAACUAAGCAGCCACUCAGUCUUACUCUUAAUUUCUAAACGGUGUAGCAUAGGGUCAUUGAGGAGUUAGCUUUUCUUUUUUUUUCUUCUUCUUCUCUUUUUAAAUUUUAUUUUAUUGGAGUAUAAAUGACUUACAGAGUUGUAUUAGUUUCAUGUAUAUAGCAAAGUGAAUCAGUUAUACAUAAAUAUAUAUCCAUUCUUUUUCUUCCCCCAUAUACCUUAUUACAAACUAUUUAGGCGAUUUCCCUGUACUAUACAGAAGGUUCUAGUUAACUAUCUAUUUUAUACAGUAGUGUGUAUAUAUUAUUCCCACCCUCCUAAUUCCUACCCCUUACAAUGAUUUCCCCUAUGGUAACAACUAUAAGAUGGGUUUUGAAAACAAAGUUUGUUUCUCUUUUAUAAGUCUGUUCUUUUUUGUCAUUUUUAUUAGAUUCCACAUAUAAGUGACAUCAUGUGAUAUUUGUCUGUCUCUGUCCGGUUUACUUCACUCAGAAUGAUAAUCUCUAGUUCCAUCCAUGUUGCUGCAGAUGGCAUUAUUUCAUUCUUUUUUAUGGCUGAGUAAUGUUCCAUUUGUAUAUCUGUACGACAUCUUUAUCCAUUCCCCUGUUGAUGGACAUUUAGGUUGUUUCCAUGUCUUGGCUGUUGUAAAUAGUGCUGCAGUAAAUGCUGGGGUGCAUGUAUCUUUUCAAAUUAUGGCUUUCUCUGGAUAUAUGCCUAGGUGUGGGUUUGCUGGAUUAUAUGGUAUUUCUAUAUUUAGUUUUUUUAAAGGAAACUCCAUGCUG